GCCAGUUUCAACUGAAGAGUUUGAUCCUGGCUCAGAUUGAACGCUAACGGCGUGCUUAACACAUGCAAGUCGCACGGCAGCACAGUAGUAGCAAUACUAUGGGUGGCGAGUGGCGGACGGGUGAGUAAUACAUAGGAAUCUGCCUUGUAGUGGGGGAUAACCCGGGGAAACUCGGGCUAAUACCGCAUAAUCUCUACGGAGCAAAGUGGGGGAUCGUAAGACCUCACGCUAAAAGAUGAGCCUAUGUCGGAUUAGCUAGUUGGUGGGGUAAAAGCCUACCAAGGCGACGAUCCGUAGCUGGUCUGAGAGGAUGAUCAGCCACACUGGGACUGAGACACGGCCCAGACUCCU
rnacentral:rRNA from 1 species